CCUAACUUCAGGUGAUCCACCACCUUGCCUCCCAAAGUGCUGGGAUUACAGCCGUGAGCCACUGCGCCUGGCCUAUUUACUUUGUUGAGACAGGGUCACACUCCAUUGCCCAGGCUGGAAUGCAGUAAUGUAAUCAUGGCUCACUGCAGGUUUGACCUCCUGGGCUCAGGUGAUCCUCCCACCUCAGCCUCCUGAGUAGCUGGGACCACAGGCACGUGUCACCACGCUUGGCUCAUUUUUUGUAUUUUUAGUAGAGAUGGGGUUUUGUCAUGUUGCCCAGGCUGGUCUCAAACUCCCGGGUUCAAGCAAUCUGCCUGCCUUGGCCUUCCAAAAUGCUGGGAUUACAGGUGUGAGCUACUGCACUAGGCAGGACAUAUGUUUUAUUUCUCUUAGUGCCUUAAUAUGUAUGCCUCAUCUCUCCGAAGUGGUGGACCCUGUUUACCUGCUCUGGAGAAUGGCUGCCUGUGGCAGACACAGGAGUUGCUCUCACACUGUGCUUCCUGUCUUCCAUAGUAACUGAGUUGUAGCUGCGAUGCAGCUACUAACCAGGAAUAGUUUCUCAGCCCCACACCUUGCACCUACAGCUAAGUGUGGCCAUGUUCUCAUCAACGAAGUGCGAAUAGCAACAAAGUGCACCACCUUCAGGUUGAGGCUUUGAAGAAGCAGGGGUACCCUUCCCUUGCUCUCUUUCCCCUUGUGCUGGUGGGAUAUAUAUAACAAUAAGGCCCUGGGUGAUAGUAGCCACCAGAUGCAAA
rnacentral:lncRNA from 1 species